AGGACAAAAGACUUAGUCCUAACCUUACAGUUAAUUUUUGCUAGGUAUAUACAUGCAAGUUUCCGCACCCCAGUGUAAAUGCCCUAAACCCCUUGCCAAGAUAAAAGGAGCAGGCAUCAGGCACGCCUAAAUCAACUGCAGCCUAAGACGCCUUGCCUUAAGCCACACCCCCACGGGUAUUCAGCAGUAAUUAACAUUAAGCAAUAAGUGUAAACUUGACUUAGCCACAGCAACACCCAGGGUUGGCCAAUCUUGUGCCAGCCGCCGCGGUCAUACAAGAAACCCAAAUUAACUGUCAUCCGGCGUAAAGAGUGGCCUACACACUAUCCCAUCAACUAAGAUUAAAAUGCAACUGAGCCGUCACAAGCCCAAGAUGCACCUAGACUUCCCCCAAAUGAUCUUAGAACCAUCCGAUCCAUCAGUCCCCACGAAAGCUAGGACACAAACUGGGAUUAGAUACCCCACUAUGCCUAGCCCUAAAUCCCAAUGCUUACCCUACCCAAGCAUUCGCCUGAGAACUACGAGCGCAAACGCUUAAAACUCUAAGGACUUGGCGGUGCCCUAAACCCACCUAGAGGAGCCUGUUCUGUAAUCGAUAAUCCACGAUACACCCAACCACCUCUUGCCAAAGCAGCCUACAUACCGCCGUCGCCAGCUCACCUCCACCUGAAAGCAUAAUAGUGAGCACAAUAGCCAACCCCGCUAAAAAGACAGGUCAAGGUAUAGCCAAUGAGAUGGAAGAAAUGGGCUACAUUUUCUAACAUAGAACACAACGAAAAGAGGUAUGAAACUCCCUCUCGAAGGCGGAUUUAGCAGUAAAGUCGGAUAAUCCAAGCCCCCUUUAAACUGGCCCUAGGGCACGUACAUACCGCCCGUCACCCUCCUCAUAAGCCCCAAACCUAUAUAACUAAUACCCCACAUAAGCUGAAGAUGAGGUAAGUCGUAACAAGGUAAGUGUACCGGAAGGUGCACUUAGCAUACCAAGACG
rnacentral:ncRNA from 1 species